GUUUAAUUGGGGAGGGAGAUAUGAAACCAUGAACAAAAAGGAGCUUACAGACGACUUUGACAGGACCCCGUGCUGACGGAGAACAUUCAAAAGGCUGAUCUGGUCACUGUGGCUCUGAAAGUGACUCACCUCCCUGCAUCUAUCCCAGGGUGGACCAUGGGAGAGAGAAGAGGUGAGAACACUGUGAAAGGAGGCCAUCUGCGAGUCAGGAAGAGAUCCUUCAUCACGAACCAAAUCUGCUGACCUCUUGAUCUUGGACUUCCCAGGCGCCAGGACUAUGGGAAGUCAAGUCUAUUGUUCCAGCCACCCAGUCUAUGGUAGUCUAUUAUAGCAGCGUGUGCAGACUAGUACAGCUAGCAUUGCCAUUGUUGUGUUGCAUGGCUAUUGUUCAGUAACCAGGGGAUGACCAAUCAAGCAUUUUGGUGCCUCUCCAUAUUCUUUUUUCCUUUCUCCAUGAUGAAUGAAAUCUUCUGGAAAUGUCAA